rnacentral:rRNA from 1 species
GACGAACGCUGGCGGCGUGCCUAAUACAUGCAAGUAGAACGCUGAAGGAGGAGCUUGCUUCUCUGGAUGAGUUGCGAACGGGUGAGUAACGCGUAGGUAACCUGCCUGGUAGCGGGGGAUAACUAUUGGAAACGAUAGCUAAUACCGCAUAAGAGUAGAUGUCGCAUGACAUUUGCUUAAAAGGUGCAAUUGCAUCACUACCAGAUGGACCUGCGUUGUAUUAGCUAGUUGGUGAGGUAACGGCUCACCACGGCAACGAUACAUAGCCGACCUGAGAGGGUGAUCGGCCACACUGGGACUGAGACACGGCCCAGACUCCUACGGGAGGCAGCAGUAGGGAAUCUUCGGCAAUGGACGGAAGUCUGACCGAGCAACGCCGCGUGAGUGAAGAAGGUUUUCGGAUCGUAAAGCUCUGUUGUAAGAGAAGAACGAGUGUGAGAGUGGAAAGUUCACACCUGUGACG